UAGUCCACGCCGUAAACGAUGUCAACUAGCCGUUGGCCCCAUCUAGGGGUUAGUGGCGCAGCUAACGCGAUAAGUUGACCGCCUGGGGAGUACGCCGGCAACGGUAAAACUCAAAGGAAUUGACGGGGCCCGCACAAGCGGUGGAGCAUGUGGUUUAAUUCGAUGCAACGCGAAAAACCUUACCUACCCUUGACAUCCUCAGAACUUGUUAGAGAUAACUUGGUGCCUUCGGGAACUGAGUGACAGGUGCUGCAUGGCUGUCGUCAGCUCGUGUCGUGAGAUGUUGGGUUAAGUCCCGCAACGAGCGCAACCCUUAUCCUUAGUUGCCAGCAUUUAGUUGGGCACUCUAGGGAGACUGCCGGUGCUAAGCCGGAGGAAGGUGGGGAUGACGUCAAGUCCUCAUGGCCCUUACGGGGUAGGGGCUACACACGUGCUACAAUGGGCGCUGACAGAGGGGUUAAUCCC
rnacentral:rRNA from 1 species